GCAUAUCAAUAAGCGGAGGAAAAGAAACCAACCGGGAUUGCCUCAGUAACGGCGAGUGAAGCGGCAAGAGCUCAAAUUUGAAAUCUGGCCCCCCCGGGGUCCGAGUUGUAAUUUGGAGAGGAUGCUUCGGGCACGGUCCCCAUCUAAGUGCCCCUGGAACGGGCUGUCACAGAGGGUGAGAACCCCGUAUGGGAUGGGCGGCCGCGCCCGUGUGAAGCUCCUUCGACGAGUCGAGUUGUUUGGGAAUGCAGCUCUAAGCGGGUGGUAAAUUUCAUCUAAAGCUAAAUACUGGCCGGAGACCGAUAGCGCACAAGUAGAGUGAUCGAAAGAUGAAAAGCACUUUGAAAAGAGAGUUAAACAGCACGUGAAAUUGUUGAAAGGGAAGCGUUGGCCACCAGACGCGCCCGGGAGGGCUCAACCGGCACCUGUGCCGGCGUACUCCCCCCCGGGCGGGUCAGCAUCGGUUUGGACGGUCGCAGAAAGGCCCCGGGAAUGUAGCACCCUCCGGGGUGCCUUAUAGCCUGGAGUGUCAUGCGGCCCGCCUGGACCGAGGCCCGCGCUUCGGCGAGGAUGCUGGCGUAAUGGUGGUCAACGGCCCGUCUUGAAACACGGACCAAGGAGUCUAACAUCUAUGCGAGUGUUCGGGUGUCAAACCCGUCCGCGCAGUGAAAGCGAACGCAGGUGGGAACCCCCCCCUUCCGGGGGACGCACCAUCGACCGAUCCUGAUGUCCUCGGAUGGAUUUGAGUAAGAGCAUAGCUGUUGGGACCCGAAAGAUGGUGAACUAUGCCUGAAUAGGGCGAAGCCAGAGGAAACUCUGGUGGAGGCUCGCAGCGGUUCUGACGUGCAAAUCGAUCGUCAAAUUUGGGUAUAGGGGCGAAAGACUAAUCGAACCAUCUGGUAGCUGGUUCUGCC
rnacentral:rRNA from 1 species